GAUGAACGCUAGCGGGAGGCUUAAUACAUGCAAGUCGAGGGGUAGAUAUCUUUCGGGAUAUUGAGACCGGCGAACGGGUGCGUAACGCGUAUGCAACUUGCCUUACACUGGGGGAUAGCCCGGAGAAAUCCGGAUUAAUACCCCAUAAUAUUAUCGAAUCGCCUGUUUUGAUAAUUAAAGAUUUAUUGGUGUAAGAUGGGCAUGCGUCUGAUUAGCUAGUUGGUAAGGUAACGGCUUACCAAGGCGACGAUCAGUAGCGGGUCUGAGAGGAUGAUCCGCCACACUGGUACUGAGACACGGACCAGACUCCUACGGGAGCAGCAGUAGGGAAUAUUGGACAAUGGGCGAGAGCCUGACUCCAGCCAUCCCGCGUGCAGAAAGAC
rnacentral:rRNA from 1 species